GACAGCGCCUGCGUCUUCCACAACGCCUCCACGCGCUUCGCCGACGGCUUCCGCUUCGGCCUGGGCGCCGAGGUGGGCAUCAGCACCAGCCGCAUCCACGCCCGCGGCCCCGUGGGCGUGGAGGGCCUGCUCACCACCAAGUGGGUGCUGCGGGGCGAGGGGCACGUGGUGGCCAAGGACCAGGGCGUGCGGUUCACACACAAGGUGCUGGCGGGCGGUAGCGAGGCGGGAGGCAGCGAGGCGGGGGGUGCGGGCGCGGGUGCGGGCGGGCGCCAAGGCAGCACCGGCCGGCGGCGCGGGUGCGUGGUGAUGUAGACGUGCGGUGUCGGAUGCGUAAAGGUGUCAAAUGGGAGAGGAGUUGCGCGUGGAGGGUGAGAGAGAGUUUGGUGGAUGCAGGACGGUGCAGGGUCGGGUAGGCGUGCGGUCCCAGGACAAGGGGCCGAGUUCGAGGGGCUUCAGAGAGGCCGCUACACACGGGUGCUGCGGUCGAAUGGGCAUAUGCGUGUGGUGGAUGGCCUGAGGCAGGGUAGUAGGCGUGAGCUGUUAUGCUCGACUGAUCACGCGGAGUGACGAGGCGUGUCCUGCGCCAGUGUCGGAAUGCGACUGGGACUGCCGAAUGACUGAUGACUCACCUGGCCAGUGCCUGGGAUGGCGGCCGAGUAAGUUUGUGCAUGUAGCGUGUAUGUAGCGUUUUUUAAAUUGACAACAACGCAAAAUAGCGACACGGCUGAAGGACCCCGAAGGCCCCUGUCCUGUCCCUCCUGCUCCAC
rnacentral:lncRNA from 1 species